rnacentral:tRNA from 1 species
CUAGAUAGGCAGGACUUGAACCCACGAGACUUUAGUUAACAGCUAAACACCCAAACCAGCGGGCUUCUAUCCG